UUUAACCCCAAGGAAGCUAAAACCAGAUUUUUGGAUGAUCCGCUAGAACCCUUGAAUAUGAUGAGACAAGGAUCCAAACGGCUGAAACGCCACAAGGUUGAUCAAUCCUUGAUAAGUUUAGGCAAUUCAAUGAAGAACAUAAGAGAAAGCUUCUCUCAAAUCUAUAAUUCAGAACAAACUCAUUAUUUUUUUCUCUUCAUGACCUCAAAUAUAAAUACCAGUCUUGGAACAACCCUCCAAGCAUGAAAAACACAAAGCAUUAGUUAACUACCUUGGAACACCCCUCCAAGCAUGGAAAACACAAAGUAGUAAUUAAUUAUCUUAGAACACCCCUC
rnacentral:lncRNA from 1 species